AGUGAACGCUGGCGGUAGGCCUAACACAUGCAAGUCGAACGGCAGCACAGUAAGAGCUUGCUCUUACGGGUGGCGAGUGGCGGACGGGUGAGGAAUACAUCGGAAUCUACUUUUUCGUGGGGGAUAACGUAGGGAAACUUACGCUAAUACCGCAUACGACCUACGGGUGAAAGCAGGGGAUCUUCUGACCUUGCGCGAUUGAAUGAGCCGAUGUCGGAUUAGCUAGUUGGCGGGGUAAAGGCCCACCAAGGCGACGAUCCGUAGCUGGUCUGAGAGGAUGAUCCGCCACACUGGAACUGAGACACGGUCCAGACUCCUACGGGAGGCAGCAGUGGGGAAUAUUGGACAAUGGGCGCAAGCCUGAUCCAGCCAUACCGCGUGGGUGAAGAAGGCCUUCGGGUUGUAAAGCCCUUUUGUUGGGAAAGAAAAGCAGCAGGUUAAUACCCCGCUGUUCUGACGGUACCCAAAGAAUAAGCACCGGCUAACUUCGUG
rnacentral:rRNA from 1 species